rnacentral:tRNA from 1 species
GCCCGGGUGGCGGAAUAGGCAGACGCAGGGGGCUUAAACCCCCCAGCCCCCCAAGGGGGCGUGUGGGUUCGACUCCCACCCCGGGCACCA